AGAAAACUUUGCAAUGUGCGAAAGCACGACAAGGUUAAUCCGAGUGGUUUCUGCUAAAGAAACCUUUUGUCAGUCCUAGAAACACUAACGAAUAAGGGGUGGGCAAGUUCUGGUGUCAGCCGCCGCGGUAAAACCAGCACCUCAAGUGGUCAGGAUGAUUAUUGGGCCUAAAGCAUCCGUAGCUCGUUUCGUAAGUUUUCGGUUAAAUCCAUGCGCUUAACGUAUGGGCUGCCGGGAAUACUGCAUAACUAGGAAGUGGGAGAGGUAGACGGUACUCGGUAGGAAGGGGUAAAAUCCUUUGAUCUAUUGAUGACCACCUGUGGCGAAGGCGGUCUACCAGAACACGUUCGACGGUGAGGGAUGAAAGCUGGGGGAGCAAACCGGAUUAGAUACCCGGGUAGUCCCAGCUGUAAACUAUGCAAACUCAGUGAUGCAUUGGCUUGUGGCCAAUGCAGUGCUGCAGGGAAGCCGUUAAGUUUGCCGCCUGGGAAGUACGUACGCAAGUAUGAAACUUAAAGGAACUGGCGGGGGAGCACCACAAGGGGUGAAGCCUGCGGUUCAAUUGGAGUCAACGCCAGAAAUCUUACCCGGAGAGACAGCAGAAUGAAGGUCAAGCUGAAGACUUUACCAGACAAGCUGAGAGGUGGUGCAUGGCCGUCGCCAGCUCGUGCCGUGAGAUGUCCUGUUAAGUCAGGUAACGAGCGAGAUCCCUGCCUCUAGUUGCCACCAUUACUCUCAGGAGUAGUGGGGCGAAUUAGCGGGACCGCCGCAGUUAAUGCGGAGGAAGGAGGGGGCCACGGCAGGUCAGUAUGCCCCGAAACUCUGGGGCCACACGCGGGCUGCAAUGGUAGUGACAAUUGGUUCCGAAUCCGAAAGGAGGAGGUAAUCCCUAAACGCUACCACAGUUAUGAUUGAGGGCUGCAACUCGCCCUCACGAAUAUGGAAUCCCUAGUAACUGCGUGUCAUUAUCGCGCGGUGAAUACGUCCCUGCUCC
rnacentral:rRNA from 1 species